rnacentral:rRNA from 1 species
CCUACGGGAGGCAGCAGUGGGGAAUUUUGGACAAUGGGCGAAAGCCUGAUCCAGCAAUGCCGCGUGAGUGAAGAAGGCCUUCGGGUUGUAAAGCUCUUUUGUCAGGGAAGAAACGGUGCGGGCUAAUAUCCUGCACUAAUGACGGUACCUGAAGAAUAAGCACCGGCUAACUACGUGCCAGCAGCCGCGGUAAUACGUAGGGUGCAAGCGUUAAUCGGAAUUACUGGGCGUAAAGCGUGCGCAGGCGGUUUUGUAAGUCUGUCGUGAAAUCCCCGGGCUCAACCUGGGAAUUGCGAUGGAGACUGCAAGGCUAGAAUCUGGCAGAGGGGGGUAGAAUUCCACGUGUAGCAGUGAAAUGCGUAGAGAUGUGGAGGAACACCGAUGGCGAAGGCAGCCCCCUGGGUCAAGAUUGACGCUCAUGCACGAAAGCGUGGGGAGCAAACAGGAUUAGAUACCCUGGUAGUCCACGCCCUAAACGAUGUCUACUAGUUGUCGGGUUUUAAUUAACUUGGUAACGCAGCUAACGCGUGAAGUAGACCGCCUGGGGAGUACGGUCGCAAGNUUAAAACUUCAAAGGAAUUGACGG